CGCGGCCUAUCAGCUUGUUGGUGAGGUAACGGCUCACCAAGGCGACGACGGGUUGCCGGCCUGAGAGGGCGACCGGCCACACUGGGACUGAGACACGGCCCAGACUCCUACGGGAGGCAGCAGUGGGGAAUAUUGCACAAUGGGCGAAAGCCUGAUGCAGCGACGCCGCGUGAGGGAUGACGGCCUUCGGGUUGUAAACCUCUUUCAGCAGGGAAGAAGCGCAAGUGACGGUACCUGCAGAAGAAGCGCCGGCUAACUACGUGCCAGCAGCCGCGGUAAUACGUAGGGCGCAAGCGUUGUCCGGAAUUAUUGGGCGUAAAGAGCUCGUAGGCGGCUUGUCGCGUCGGAUGUGAAAGCCCGGGGCUUAACCCCGGGUCUGCAUUCGAUACGGGCAGGCUAGAGUUCGGUAGGGGAGAUCGGAAUUCCUGGUGUAGCGGUGAAAUGCGCAGAUAUCAGGAGGAACACCGGUGGCGAAGGCGGAUCUCUGGGCCGAUACUGACGCUGAGGAGCGAAAGCGUGGGGAGCGAACAGGAUUAGAUACCCUGGUAGUCCACGCCGUAAACGGUGGGAACUAGGUGUUGGCGACAUUCCACGUCGUCGGUGCCGCAGCUAACGCAUUAAGCUCCCCGCCUGGGGAGUACGG
rnacentral:rRNA from 1 species